rnacentral:lncRNA from 1 species
AGUAGUCCAGUGGGAUGACAUCUGGAGGGGCUAUGCUUUAGAUUAUUUAUAGAUGUGGGCAAUAAGAGCUACAUUUAUGUUGUCAGUGCUGUUUGCCCUCGUUUAAUUUCUCAAAUGACCUAAUUAUAUGUGUUCUCAAUAUGUCUUGGGAGGAAAAUAAUUGCUGAUACUGUCAAAGGCAAAAUGCUGAAUAUGUUUCAGUGCUUCUCACAUUCCAUGGCCUGAUUAUGGGCAUCAUUAAAUUACACGUUACCAUUCUUCCGGAACAUCGCAUUGAACAUGUCCUAAUGUUUCACAAUGAGAAGUGAAGCACUUCCUCUUACUUAAAAAGAAAAAUAUUUGAUUUUUACAGGAUGCCUGACACUAAUGCUUACUAUUCUGCUAUCUAUGAUGUCUUCACUUAUGGAUAUAUUUAUUAACAAGUACUUAUUAGCUAUUUAACAUUUCCUCUACUGAGUGUUAUUAAUUACAGAUGCUGUAUUAGUUUCCUAAGGCUGCUGUAACAAAUUACCACAAACGUGGUGACUUAAAACAACAGAAAUUUAUUCUCUCACGGUUCUGGAGGCCAGAAGUUCAAAAUACAGCUGGGACCAAAGGCAUCUCUAAGGAAGGAUACAGUCCUUGCCUCUUCCAGGGUUCUGUGCCUCCUGUUGGAAUGAGCUCACUAACCAGUGGAAACAAACUGUUUAUCCUUCUAUGAUGUUGCAACUGCCUGGGCUUUCUAAUGCGUCUUCAGAUUUCGGUUUGUACUCAGAACAAGUGAGAAAAGUUUUACAGCAACUCCACGAAACAAAGCAGACAGGCUCUCCUGAAGCCAAGGAGUUAUGAAAAAGGCAGGCAUCGCGCAUUGAAUCAAGUAUGCCAUUACCCUCACUCCCAUGAACCUGUCUUUCAGCACAAUCCAUGACAGCAAGAAGACAAAGGCUUUGUUACAACAGAACAGAGCGGAGACAUCCGUGGCCGUCAGCUUCUUUAAAGCCAGUAAAUAAAGGAAAGAAAAGAGAAGUUAAUAUCCAGGUACUGAUGGUGACACCUCUUGUCUUAUCUGACUCAUCGCAGCCAUUUUCAGG